AUUGAACGCUGGCAGCAUGCCUUACACAUGCAAGUCGAACGGCAGCACGGGUGCUGGCACCUGGUGGCGACUGGCGAACGGGUACGUAAUACAUCUGAACGUACCCUAACGCUGGGGAUAACGCAGCGAAAGCUGUGCAAAUACCGCAUACGCCUAGAGGGGGAAAGCGGGGGAUUGAAAGAUCUAGCGCGCUCAGAGUGGCCGAUGCCUGAUUAGCUUGUUGGGGGGGUAAAGGCCCACCAAGGCGACGAUCAGUAGCUGGUCUGAGAGGACGAUCAGCCACACUGGGACUGAGACACGGCCCAGACUCCUACGGGAGGCAGCAGUGGGGAAUUUUGGACAAUGGGGGCAACCCUGAUCCAGCAAUGCCGCGUGAGUGAAGAAGGCCUUCGGGUUGUAAAGCUCUUUUGUCAGGGAAGAAACACCGGCUCUAACACAGUCCGGGAAUGACGGUACCUGAAGAAUAAGCACCGGCUAACUACGUGCCAGCCGCCGCAGUAA
rnacentral:rRNA from 1 species